CGUGACGCGCGGCGCGUGGGGCCAAUGGGGGCGCCCGGCGCUGUGACGCGCGGCCGCCCCGAGCGGGAGCUCCGCCAAGGCUGGCGGGGGGGGGGGGGGGGGCAAGGGAGAAGGCGGGGGGGUGAAGGCGUCCGAGGGUGCGUACAGCGCCCCCCCCCAGCUUUAGGUCUCCUCGUUUUAGCUCUCCCCGUCACACCCCGCGGAGAUGGGGUUGGUGUGCGGCUGCUGCGCCCGCCUGGCACUCUGCGUGCCCCGAACCGGGCGAGCAGGCACGGUGCCACCCACCUAAAAAGCCCCGAGGGUGCGCCCGGUGCCGCUGACCCCUGGUACCACGGGGAAGGCCCCGCCGACCGCCCGCCGCCGCCGCUCGCAGCCGCGUGACAAUGGCGCCCCCUGCCGGGCGGCGAGCGCCGCAGGGGGGCACCGCCGUGCAGAAGCGCUUCGCUUCACGGCAGCCUCACGGCAGGGUUUGGGGUGUUCUGGGAGUAAGGAUUCGAAAAGGGCGAGUUGCAGCCUGCCAUCCCCUUCGGUCCCCAGCCGGGGAGCUGCGCGGAGCCACUGCUGUACUGGGGAGCCCUGUGCCUGCUGGAAAGUGAGAGGCCAGGAGAAUGAUGCCGAGUUCUGUGCCAAGGCGGUUAUUAAAAGGAAAAAAAAAAAAGCAGCAGCAGGAAGCUUUUAAAAUCGGGAUGUGUACACGUGAGAGCAGGCUGAAAGCAGGAGUGCUGUAUCUCAUAUCCGCUGGUGCGGCCUGCCAGCCACUAAAACAAACAUGCUGAGAGGGGCAGCGGCAGCCUGCUGAAGGCCUCUGGCCUCCCAGCACCCCAAGGCCCUGGAGCCGCGGCCUCUCUGGGCCUGAGGGCCCAAAGGCAGCCUCGUAUCGAGGGAACCGUGGGGGCCACAGCACCGCCAGCCUGGGCAGUGCCCUGUACUUCGCCCAGGAGAGCCACACAGCACAGUGGCACCUGUGUUCAUCUGCCAGAGCGAGCACUGCCCUUGGCCACGGGCCAGCUGGCAGUGUCACAGAGCCAGAGAACUGAUCCAGGAGGGAUCCGAGCUGCCCCCUUCUUCCAAUUUAAACUAGGCCAUCCCUGAGAGUUUGAGCAAGGGCUGGAUAGUGAGAGUCAGCAUUUAAUUUGACUUCCCAGCAUGUGGCAGUGAAACUUUAGUAGUAUUAAUUAUAGCAGCGCCACAGAGAGUAUUGGUGUGUUGACACUGGCUGGUAGGACUUAAUGCUAUUUUAUAUGCGUCUUAUAUCUUUCCUCUUCUCUUUCAAGUUGUUACUGCUUGCAAACGUCAGAAGGAAGAUAGGCAGAAGCUCAUUCUGGAGAACACCGCUCUGGUGAAGAAAUUGUAGGAGUAACACUUUUCAGUUCAGAAAGCAGUGUUCUCCUUCUUGCUCCAGAACAAAGGAAGAUUAACAAUACCAUGUUUCUGUGUGCUUGUGUGUGCUUGGCUAAAAGUCUUCACUGUGAGCAUGGCUGCACAGAACCAGACUUUCCAGGUGGAAAGAUGGAGCUGGGCAGCAAACUUAACUGUGUUGGCACCCAAUUUCCUUGCUGGAAACAAGAUUGUCCCUAGCUGUCCUCCAUCCAGCCAACACAUGGAUUUCUCAGCUCACCUCCAGAGACACAUUUCUGGAAAGUUCAGGCCACCAUGUCCACCUCUUCUCUCCACAUCCCUAAGGGAGGCAUUCUUCUACCUCCACAGCACAGGUGAGCAGCCAGCAGCAUGCAGAGCUGCGGGGAGAUGCCAAGAGGACAUCAGCCACCAGGAUGAGGAGUUCAGAGCACUCCCGACUUACUUAGCUUGGAAGAGAUUUUCCUUAGCAAAAUGACUUAUCAUACCUUUGACAAUAGAACAAGACAUCAUACUUUCAAAGCUGGAUGUAAUUCUUCUUUUUAUCACUGGGCAAACACCAUACAUCUAAGUGCAGCUCAUAAUUCUUCGGUAUCUACAAAUGAAGAACAGGUUUGCUGCCCUGGAGUGCAGGCCAGACAGACUGCAGUCACACGACAGCAGAAGCUGCUCACACCUCCUAAUCCCCUCUUAUUCAUUGUUUGUUUGGUUUUUUGGUGUUUUUUUUUUUUUUUUCAUGGAUGUGUUUUCAUUCCCAUAGAAAGCAGUGGGACUUUCAAGGCAAACAGUGCAAAAGAAAAUUUACUUCACGUAUGUCUUGUGCUACUGAAAAGAGACUCUGUAGUUCUUUGCACUUUAGAAUACAUUAGCAAUUUUUCACAAGGCAUGUGCAGCUUAGUCCUUCUGAACAGCUGACUCUUUCAUUCUUGCUGGCUAACAACAUCUUUUUUUGGUUGCUGAGAUGCCUGAGGUUUUAAAGUAGAGCUUCCUAUUAAUCCCAAAUAGUACAAAUGCCACCAUUAAACACCAAGCAGGUUUUCUGCCACUACACCUGAAGCAUCCAGCAUGGUUUCACUGUUUUAAUACCACACAGAGGCACAAAUCACAAGGAGUUGUACUGGUUGAUGGUACCUGACAGACAAAUAUGGCACUAUGUCCUGAAGAAGAGCUCGACAUUACAUGAACAUUUAGCAUAGGUGAUCCCACUUCUCAUUCUUUAGUUUUUAAGGACUCCACUCAGCCCCCAAACUCCCCUCCCCUAAGCAUCUUCCCAGCUUCAGAUCAAAAACGCAGAACAGGAGUCCUGCUGUGGGGUGACACGUGAGCUUGGGGGAUCAUUUCAGGUAGCUUAGCUGAAAAUGGCUCCAUUGUUUAGCAGCCUGCAGAGCAGCAAAUCUCCUUCCCCCAUGCCAGUGGUCACUCAAUGAAAUGUGUGCUUUUCAUAGACGUAGGUCCGCAAAUUUCAUCUGAUACGUAAAUAUCUAGAAAAAUGAAGCCAUUUAUAAACACCUCCCCUCCUUCCUCUUCUCCCUCCCUGCCCUGCUCCCAAGAUACGCCUUUUGGCAGGGUGAACCCCACCUGUGAUAGGCUUAGUUCACAUGGCUCCAGAGCAAACAAUGAAAUAUUCAAGGUGUAGUGGUGGUGGGCAGUGCGAGGCAAAAGGAAAAAUUAAGAAAUAAUAAUAAAAAAAAAUAGAGAGAGAA